rnacentral:rRNA from 1 species
AUUGAACGCUGGCGACAGGCUUAACACAUGCGAGUCGAGCGGGGGAAGGUAGCUUGCUACCGGACCUAGCGGCGGACGGGUGAGUAAUGCUUAGGAAUCUGCCUAUUAGUGGGGGACAACAUCUCGAAAGGGAUGCUAAUACCGCAUACGUCCUACGGGAGAAAGCAGGGGAUCUUCGGACCUUGCGCUAAUAGAUGAGCCUAAGUCGGAUUAGCUAGUUGGUGGGGUAAAGGCCUACCAAGGCGACGAUCUGUAGCGGGUCUGAGAGGAUGAUCCGCCACACUGGGACUGAGACACGGCCCAGACUCCUACGGGAGGCAGCAGUGGGGAAUAUUGGACAAUGGGGGGAACCCUGAUCCAGCCAUGCCGCGUGUGUGAAGAAGGCCUUAUGGUUGUAAAGCACUUUAAGCGAGGAGGAGGCUACUUUAGUUAAUACCUAGAGAUAGUGGACGUUACUCGCAGAAUAAGCACCGGCUAACUCUGUGCCAGCCGCCGCAGUAA